GUAGGUGAACCUGCGGAAGGAUCAUUAUUGAAUAAAUCUGGCGUAGGUUGUAGCUGGCUCUCUGGAGCAUGUGCACACCUCGUCACCUUUAUCUUUCCACCUGUGCACACACUGUAGUCCUGGAUACCUCUCGCUGAAAGGCGGAUGCGGAGGCUGCUGUUGCCUUUAAAAUGGCUCAGCUUCCUCUGAAUUUCCAGGUCUAUGCCCUUUUAAAACACCCCAACCGAAUGUUACAGAAUGUAAUCAACGGGCCUUUGUGCCUAUAAACCUAAUACAACUGCUAGCAACGGAUCACUCGGCCCUC
rnacentral:misc_RNA from 1 species